rnacentral:misc_RNA from 1 species
UUGAUUUUAAAGGGAUGUGCUGGCUUUCUCCAAGCAUGUGCACUCCUAACAAAACCAAUAUCCACCCCUGUGCACAUAUUGUAGAUGAGGAGUUGUGAGACUCCUGUGUCUAUGUCUCUUUUUACAAACAACCAUUGAUUUAUUUGAAUGCCUUUGAAUAAUAUAUAAAA